rnacentral:rRNA from 1 species
UGCCAGCCGCCGCGGUAAUACGGAGGGGGCUAGCGUUGUUCGGAAUUAUUGGGCGUAAAGCGCGUGUAGGCGGUUCGUUAAGUCUGAUGUGAAAGCCCGGGGCUCAACCCCGGAAGUGCAUUGGAAACUGGCGAACUUGAGUACGGGAGAGGAAAGUGGAAUUCCGAGUGUAGGGGUGAAAUCCGUAGAUAUCGAGAGGAACCCCAGUUGCGAAGGCGGCUCACUGGGCCGGUACCGACGCUGAGGAGCGAAAGCGUGGGGAGCAAACAGGAUUAGAUA